AGCGUCAUUACACCACUCCAGCCUCGCUGGGUCUUGGGCGCCGCGGCCUCGCCCGCGCGCCCCAAUGUCCUCGGCUGGGCCGUCCGUCUCGAAGCGUUGUGGCAACUCAAUCCGCUUGCGAGGUCGGAGGGCCCGUCGCCGUCAAACACCCCCCACCACAGGUUGACCUCGGAUCAGGUAGGGAUACCCGCUGAACUUAA
rnacentral:misc_RNA from 1 species